rfam:Capsicum annuum cultivar Zunla-1 unplaced genomic scaffold scaffold42231, whole genome shotgun sequence
ACUGAUGUAUUCAAUGAGUUUAUAGCCUUGGCCUACACGCCUGGGUAAUCUUUGAAAUUUUAUCGUGAUGGGGAUAGAUCAUUGUAAUUGUUGGUCUUCAAC